rfam:Exophiala spinifera strain CBS 89968 unplaced genomic scaffold supercont1.9, whole genome shotgun sequence.
GGUGGUGUGGCCUAAUGGUAAGGCGUUGCUUUCCGGUGCACAGAGCCUGGCAAAGACUGUGGGUUCGAGUCCCAUCACCAUCG